rnacentral:rRNA from 1 species
UGGCGGGGGGCUAACCAUGCAGUCGAGCGGCAGCGGAGAGUAGCUUGCUACUUUGCCGGCGAGCGGCGGACGGGUGAGUAAUGUCUGGGAAACUGCCUGAUGGAGGGGGAUAACUACGGGAAACGGUUGCUAAUACCGCACAACGUCACAAGACCAGGGAGGGGGACCUUCGGGCCUCUUGCCAUCAAAUGUGCCCAAGAUGGGAUUAGGCUAGUGAUGGUGGGGUAACGGCUCACCUCGGGCAACUAUCCGUAGCUGGUCUGAAGGGAUGAUCAGCCACACUGGAACUGAGACACGGUCCAGACUCCUACGGGAGGCAGCAGUGGGGAAUAUUGCACAAUGGGCGCAAGCCUGUAUGCAUGCAUGCCGGCGUGUAUGAAGAAGGCCUUACGGGUUGUAAAGUACUUUCAGGCGGGGAGGGAGGUCGUUGAGGUUAAUAACCUCAGCGAGUUGACGUUACUCGCAGAAUAAGCACCGGCUAACUCCGUGCCAGCAGCCGCGGUAAUACGGAGGGUGCAAGCGUUAAUCGGAUUUACUGGGCGUAAAGCGCACGCAGGCGGUCUGUCAAGUCGGAUGUGAAAUCCCCGGGCUCAACCUGGGAACUGCAUUCGAAACUGGCAGGCUAGAGUCUUGUAGAGGGGGGGUAGAAUUCCAGUGUGUAGCGGUGAAAUGCGUAGAGAUCUGGAGGAAUACCGGUGGCGAACGGCGGCCCCCUGGACAAAGACUGACUCUCAUGUGCGAAAGCGUGGGGAGCACACAGAGAUUAUAUACCCUGGUAGUCUCACGCCCCGUACACUAUGUCGACUUGGAUGUUGUGCCCUUGAGGCGUGUCUUCCGGAUCUCACGCUUUAUAGUCGACCGCCUGGGAGAGUACGGCCGCAAGGUUAACACUCAUAUGAAUUGACGGGGCGCCCGCACAACGCUGUGGAGCAUGUGUUUUUAUUCUAUGCAGCGCGAAGAACCCUUACCUACUCUUGGAUAUCCAGAAGAACUUUCCAGAUAUGGCUUGGGGUGCCCUUCGGGAACUUUGAGACACGGGUGCUGCAUGGCUGUCGUCAUCUCGUGUUGUGAAAUUGUUGGGUUAAGUCCCGCAACGAGCGCAACCCUUUUAUCUUUUUGUUGCCAGCUGUUCGGCCGGGAACUUCAAAGGAGACUGCCAGUGUAUAAUCUGGAGGAAGGUGGGGAUGACCUUCAGGUCAUCAUGGCCCUUAACGAGUAGGGCUACACACGGUGCUCACAAAUGUGCGCUCAUACAAAGAUGAUGCGACCUCGCGAGAGCAAGCGGACCUCAUAAACUGCGUCGUAGUCCGGAUUGGAGUCUGCAACUCGACUCCAUGAAGUCGGAAUCGCUAGUAAUCGUAGAUCAGAAUGCUACGGUGAAUACGUUCCCGGGCCUUGUACACACCGCCCGUCACACCAUGGGAGUGGGUUGCAAAAGAAGUAGGUAGCUUAACCUUCGGGAGGGCGCUUACCACUUUGUGAUUCAUGACUGGGGUGAAGUCGAACAAAGAACCAGGCCCA